rnacentral:rRNA from 1 species
AUACGUAGGGGGCGAGCGUUGUCCGGAAUGAUUGGGCGUAAAGGGCGCGUAGGCGGCCCGGUAAGUCUGGAGUGAAAGUCCUGUUUUUAAGAUGGGAAUUGCUUUGGAUACUGUCGGGCUUGAGUGCAGGAGAGGUAAGUGGAAUUCCCAGUGUAGCGGUGAAAUGCGUAGAGAUUGGAGGAACACCAGUGGCGAAGGCGGCUUACUGGACUGGAAACGACGCCGAGGCGCGAAAGGGUGGGGAGCAAACAGGAUUAGAUACCCUGGUAGUCCACCCCGUAAACGAUGAAUGCUAAGUGUAGGGGGUAUCGACCCCUUCUGUGCCGCAGUCAACACAAUAAGCAUUCCGCCUGGGGAGUACGGCCGCAAGGUUGAAACUCAAAUGAAUUGACGGGG